GUCUGUGGUGGUCUCUGGCAGUACUUGGUAUGGAUGGUAUAUCUUCGAGAUCUUCCGCCAUCUUCAGGAGGCCCGCCAAAUCGGAAAAAUACUUCCGCCUGAUGUACCACAUAUACUCAGGUAGGGCAUUCUAUUAAAUUCGCUCCACUCUCUGUUCCUCCGUGUAAUCGGUAUGCCUCAUCAAGUCUUGCAUGGACGACAUGUAGUCCUUAAAUAACGCCCGAGGCUUCUGCUUCCUUUGGCGUAUGUCGUCUUCUAAGUUUUCCAUGAAUUGCGGAGGGAGGAAGAACUUUAAAAGAUCUUUUCGGAAUGCCUCCCAAGAUUGCCAUGGCUUGCGAUUAUUGCGGAACCACAUUAAUGCCCAUCCGUGGAGAACCUCAGGCAUCAUUUUUACGAACAUCUCGGCAUGUUCUUCCAGUCACUCCACGAAUUCAAACGACUUACUCUCCCCAGCAAAACUUAUACCCAACACUUAUGACUUGAUCACUUCUGCUGCUGUAACCUGGAGAUUGUGGCAUUAAAUUCUCGCUGUCUAGGUGACCGUAGUUUAAUGCACGGUACGAUGAGUUGGAAAAUUUUGCAAGCAAAGAGGCCUACCUGUUUGGAUUGUAAUGUCAGAAUUACUAUCAACAAAUGCAGAAAGUUGUUUAUCAAAUAAACAAAAUAACUUGUUACAUUUAUUAUUAUUAGAAAAUUAAAUGAAAGGUGUACAAGUCUUUUCAAAAUUAUGUUCUUUA